rnacentral:lncRNA from 1 species
CUUAAUUAGUUAAUGAAUGCAGCUAGCUAGUUUAGCCGACUCAAACAUCCGGAUUAAACAGAGAGGGAUGCUAUGUUAGCUAGUUGGCUAUGGCUAUCCAACGCUGGAACUCAAGGUCACAGAGCUGAUGUGUUCUGCACUGAAGUCCAUAAGCGAAGGGAAAAGAAUACUGCAGAUAAUUCCCAGAAUGCUCUUCGGGAUAGCUUGUUACCAUGGGAAUUUCCAAGGGUCCCAGGAGUUAAUGAGGACCAUAUGUUGACAUGUCAUGUCAAACAGCACUAUGGGAACGGUAUCCAUGCCAAUCACAGGGGACAAGAUGGUCAUGUGAAAUGGAGGGAUGGACGCCCCCUACUGGCUGAACAAGAUAAUGAAAGCCUUCAGUCUAUCAAAGUAAAAUACAGUCGUGAAACCGUUUAGAUUCCCAGGCUGUGGUUUCUGCAUGGUUUCCUAGUGUAAUAUUCAUUAUCAAGCAAUCCACUAUCCAAGAUGUUCCUUCCCACUAUGCAUCUCAACAUAGUGGACUUGUGAUUCUAUUAAACAGUCAUAUUCACCGAUAAUUUCAACUCAGAGCUACUGUUUCCAGAUGACCAUAAAUAACAAUGACCUGACAAACGUUUGUGUGUUCGAGGUCAUUUGAGGUAAUAGAGUUAUGUUUUUGAGAGGUUUUCCUGGAGAAACAGUUUCAUUUGAAAUGGUUUAUUCCAAAAAUCUAUAUUUAUAGUUAUGCAUCCAAGUUCACACAGGAAAUGUAAAAAUAGACAUUUCCCCACGGC